rnacentral:rRNA from 1 species
ACGAGCACGGCUAAAAGUCGGAGGAAGGUGGGGAUGACGUCAAAUCAUCAUGCCCCUUAUGACCUGGGCUACACACGUGCUACAAUGGGCGGUACAAAGGGUCGCGAACCCGCGAGGGGGAGCCAAUCCCAAAAAGCCGCUCUCAGUUCGGAUUGCAGGCUGCAACUCGCCUGCAUGAAGCCGGAAUCGCUAGUAAUCGCGGAUCAGCAUGCCGCGGUGAAUACGUUCCCGGGCCUU